UAUCCACAAGUAUCUAAACUUGUUAUUUGAGAAUUAAGUAAAAGGGCUUAUAUAGGUGCCGAGAAAUAUUGUGCGUUUUUACCAAGAAAAGCUAUCUGAUAGUUAUGGAAAGAUAACAUAUAUAUAUAUAUAUAGGCUUUUAACGAAAUUUCUAAGCAAUUUAAACAAAAUAGUUGCUCCAACAAAAGGAUAAAAAAAAAAAAACAAAAUGGUUGCUAUCAAAGCAGUCCACGCGGCAACAUCGUUGAUACCAAUGUCGGUGAUAAUGUAGUUCUUGUUACUGUUUUCAGCGUGUUGACUGGAGAUGUCCUAAGCUCAUUACACUAGUUCAUAAUUGUGUGAAUACAAAAGCAAUGAGCAAGUGCCUUUAAAUUGUCAAGUCAACUUCUAAUUGACUUCGUUUGAAAGUGCUUUUAAAAUGAAUAAAAGCG
rnacentral:lncRNA from 1 species